GUUUUGGUGAUGGUGAUGUGUUUGUACAUCUUACUUUACUGAACAUUCUUGCUGCUUACAAUUAUCUCUAUCUAUAAUGAACUUAAUUGGCUCAGUAGUUUCAGUGGAAAAUGUUAGUAAAAAUUUACAAAUUUUAUGAAAAUUGUUUAAAAUUGACUAUAAAGGACAAUAACUCCUUAGGGGGUCAAUUGACCAUUUUGGUCAUGUUUGACUUAAUUUUAGGUCUUACUAUGCUGUACAUUAUUGCUGUUUACAGUUCAUCUCUAUCUAUAAAAAUAUUCAAGAUAAUAACAAAAACAGCAAAAUUUCCCUUAAAUUACAAAUUCAGGGGCAGCAACCCAACAACAGGUUGUCCGAUUCAUCUAAAAAUUUCAGGGCAGAUUGAUAUUGACCUGAUAAACGAUUUGACUCCUUGUCAGAUUUGCUCUAAAUGCUUUGGUUUUUGAGUUAUAAGCCACAAACUGCAUUUUCCCCCUAUGUUCUAUUUUUAGUCAUUGCAGCCUUCUUGGUUGGUUGGCCAGGUCACCGGACAUAUUUUUAAACAAGAUACCCCAAUAAUGAUUGUGGUAAAGUUUUGUUUAAUUUGGCUCAGUAGUUUCAGAGGAGAAUAUUUAUGUAAAAGUUAACAGACGACGGCGGACGACGACGACGAUGACGGACGCAAAGUGAUGAGAAAAGCUCAUGUGGGUUUACAUUUUUUCAUAAAUAAUUAAAUCAUUACUUAUAACAUACCAUUUUCCUUUGUCUAUCUGGUUUUAUAAUAUAUAUUAAUAAUAAUAUAAGUGCACUGGUUACCAAAAAUUCAUAUCUAUAACGUUUCUUGCGUUUAUGAGGUCAUUAUUAAGCAAUAUUUGAUGCACAUUUGUGAACAGUUUCGGAUUCAAACGGGCAAUGACUGAGUUUUUUUUUAAUAAAACCAUACAUGCGAUAGCAGUUGUCAAGUCAUAACUGGAGAUUUGAAAAUUUUCAACUGGAGGUUUGGGUCUCAUAACAGGAUUGUUUUUUUAAAUUCGCCAAAAAGAUUAAUACAAUUAGCUAAGCUAUAUAUUUCGUUUAUGGAAUUACACCCCCCCCCCUUUUUUUCAAAAAUCUAGAAUUUACCGCGUCAAGUGCAUGCACAAAGAUGCUUACAAGUGUAUAUAUACUAAUACCUUGAUGUACAUCUAACAUUACACCCAGCAGAGUUUUCCCUGGUGUAAUUAGUAGUCACCACAGUUAGAUGUCUGACUCUAUAACAGCUUUUAUCAUCUUGAACUUUUCUCACCAACUCAAAGCUAAUCAUCUCUUUCAUAUGAAGUUUUAUUUUCUUUAGAAUUAUGUUUUAUAUUUUUACAAGUAUUAAUUUCAUUGCUCUUAAAAGCUUUUAGAUAACAUUACCAUGGACUAAUUCACAGAGAG
rnacentral:lncRNA from 1 species